rnacentral:rRNA from 1 species
GCUUGUCUGANUGUCCGCAAACCCCUCUCAGCGCUGGACCUGUUCUGGUGGCUGGAUUUUGGCUUUGCCUUUGGCUUUGCUCAAGUUUGCCCUUAGCAUGACAAGCGCCUGUAUGGGCUUCUGUUGUGUGCUCAACUUAUCUUUCCUGUAGCUCACUUCGUGUGUGUGGAUGGAAGGGUGCCCAAGUUGAGUGCCCGAUGGAGCUCUGGCGUGAGUUUUGCCUGUAAAGAGUGCAGCCCGUGGCUGUUCUCCCAUUACCACACUUUCGGAUCUCAGAUCAAGCAAGAAGACCCGCCGAAUUUAAGCAUAUAAUUAAGCGGAGGAAAAGAAACUAACUAGGAUUCCCUCAGUAAGGGCGACUGAACGGGGAAGAGCUCAGCAUGUGAAUCUGCGCUUCGGCGCCGAAUUGUGGUCUGUCGACUCUGGUGUUAUUGGCCGGGCUAAGUCCCUUGGAACAGGGCAGCAUAGAGGGUGAGACUCCCGUCUGCCUGGCCUUUUGAGCCGGAUGUCUAUGAGUCGAGUUGUUUGGGAUUGCAGCUCAAAGUGGGUGGUAAAUUCCAUCUAAAGCUAAAUAUUGGUGGGAGACCGAUAGCGUACAAGUACCGUGAGGGAAAGAUGCAAAGAACUUUGAAAAGAGAGUUAAAGAGUACCUGAAAUUGCCGAAAGGGAAGCGGAGGAAACCAGUGCUUGCCGAGUCAUAUUUCUCCCUCCGCUUGCGGGGUGGGCGCUGUGUCUUGGCCUGGGUCAGGCUUGGUUGGGCUGGCUGGAAGGACGCUGUGGGAGUUGACCACUGCAUGUCUGCGACUGGCUUGACUGAGGUUGGCAAA